AACGAACGCUGGCGGCAUGCCUAACACAUGCAAGUCGAACGAGACCUUCGGGUCUAGUGGCGCACUGGUGGGUAACGCGGGGGAACCUGCCUUUAGGUUCGGAAUAACUCAGAGAAAUUUGAGCUAAUACCGGAUGAUAUCUUCGGACCAAAGAUUUAUCGCCUUUAGAUGGGCCCGCGUUGGAUUAGCUAGUUGGUGGGGUAAAGGCCUACCAAGGCGACGAUCCAUAGCUGGGCUGAGAGGAUGGUCAGCCACACUGGGACUGAGACACGGCCCAGACUCUUACGGGAGGCAGCAGUGGGGAAUAUUGGACGAUGGGCGAAAGACUGAUGCUGUAAUGCCGCGUGAGUGAUGAAGGACUUAGGGUUGUAAAGCUCUUUUAAACGAGAUGAUAAUGACGGUAUCGGGAGAAUAAGCUCCGGCUAACUCCGUG
rnacentral:rRNA from 1 species